UUCCUUAAAUACUAGUAACUAAGAGAAAAAUAGUUAUGAAAUUUAAAAUCAAAAUUCUUCAGUACUCUCUUCUUCUUCUCUCUCGAUCUUUUUCCUUUUCUGUUCUUUUACUGUUUCUAGAUCCGUUACGUGACAAAGGUAUCAGAACUUUGUCGAUUCUCAUUGCCGCGGAGGGUGUGACCAAAAAUAAUUGGAAAUGAUGCAAGGUGAGCUUACUCAACUACAAGUCGAAUUCACACAGUUAGAUGUAAGGAUUGACGCACGUUUGAAGGAUUUUCAGGAAGGAAUUAAAUCUGAGGUUCGUUCAAAGGUACGAUCUCAACUUCGUUCUGAGCUCUAUUCUUUGUUUGAACAAUAUUUUGGACAAAAUCCUCCUGUUGCAGUUACUAGUUUGAUGUCUAGCAAAGGAAAAGGUAUCUUAGGCUUUCCUCCUAAUUUUCCAGCAAAGGAACAUUUAGUAGUGUCUCCUAUGCCAGAUCUAGGACAUUCGGGUGUGUCUUCGCGAGGAGGGAGUUUGGAAACUGUGAAUACUUCUUUUCGAGUAGACUGUCCUCACUUUGAUGGUGGAAAUUUUAGAGGGUGGUGGUCUAAGUUAGAACAAUAUUUUGAGGCUAAAGGUUCGGGUAGUUAUGUUAUAUCUAGAUGGAAAGACAUUAGACUGGCAUCACUUUUUUAUGCACAGACAUGGAGGGUUGCACUAGUUGUCUUGGGAGGUAUAUGCUAGGGGACUAAAGGAACGUUUUGGAUUUGAUUCUCUCCUUGAUCCCAUGGCUGAGUUGGUAACUCUUAAGCAACACGGAUCUAUUGAUCAGUUCCAUGAUGGAUUUCUGAGCUUGUUGAAUCAAUUAAAUUUUCCAGAGACCUAUGCACUAAGCAUAUUUAUUAGAAAUUUGAAACCUGAGAUAGGUCAGUACCUUCGGUUAUUUAAGCCUCAAACAUUGGUGGAGGGUUAUAAUUUGGCUAGGUAGGUCGAGAAUAUUGUGUUAGGACCAAUAAGGAAAGGGUUAAUUGCUGGUUGUGAAGUUAGUUCUUUUAGACCUUUAUUCCCUAUCUCUAAAAUGCAGCAAGGAAUGGGGAGCUCAGCAAUAGUAGGGGGAACGACAAGUAGUAAUUCAGGACAAAUAACUCCCCCAAUAUCUUAAGCAGUGUUGGAGGAUAGAAGGAAGAAGGGCCUCUGUUUCUGGUGUGGCUCAAAGUACUCACCAGGUCAUAAAUGUUCCAAGUCUCAAUUGUAUCAGCUUAUUAGUGAGCCAUUAUGGGAACAGGAUUCUGACAUGAAGAGUCCAACUUCUGAAGAGUCUCAAGAUUAUUCUGAGCAAUUGGAUCUAGUAGAUCAAGUUCCAGAAAUUCUUACUCCUAUGUUAUCAUUGCAUGCUCUCCAAAUACUGCAGGGACAUAAUACUAUGAGAUUUUCAGUUAUAAUUGGUCAAACUGAGGUGAUUGUAUUAGUGGAAUCAGGCAGCACACAUAAUUUUAUAGAUUUUAACGUGGCUAAAAGAUUGAAUUUGGCAGUGGAAUCGAGGAGUACAUUGAGAGUGAUGGUGGCAAAUGGGGUUCGAUUAUCUACUCAAGGUUUAUGUAGAUCGGUUUCUUGGGAAGCACAGGGUUAUAGUUUCACUACUAAUUUCUUAAUAAUAUCAGUGAAGGGAUUUGAUUUGGUGCUUGGCAUUCACUGGUUAUUAUCUCUUGGUCCUAUUGAAUGGAAUUUCUCCAAUCUAACUAUGCAGUUUAAUCAUAUGGGGUAAAGUUGCAUUCUCUAAGGCAUAGUGCCAGGUUCAUUACACAUUGUUCCAAGUAGUCAACUAUCCAAAUGAUUAAGUCUGGUAGGUAAUGGUCCAUACCCUAUGUUAUUGACUUCUUGUUAUCAGACUGCCCUCAAGAUGCCUCCUUAAUGAGUUUGAAGAUAUAUUUCAGACUCCCACAAGCCUACCUCCUCCUCGAUUACAAGAUCACAAGAUUCCCUUGAUUGAUGAAUAUAAGGUAGUUAAGAUGCAGCUUUACAGAUACCCUACAGUACAGAAUACUGAAAUCGAGAAACUGAUACAAGAAAUGUUACAAGUUGGGAUAAUUCGAGAUAGCAACAGCCCUUUUGCAUCUCCUGUGGUGAUAGUGAAGAAAAAAAGAUGGCAGUUGGAGGCUGUGUAUUAACUAUAGACAGCUUAACCAACUGACCAUCAAAGACAGGUUUCCUAUACCUGUCAUUGAGGAACUUUUUGAUGAAUUAGGACAAGCAAACUUUUUCUCUAAAUUCGAUUUGCAUUCGAGUUAUCAUCAGAUUCAAAUGUGAGAGAAAGAUGUGCACAAGACAGCUUUUAAAACUCAUGCUGGCCAUUAUGAAUUUUUGGUCAUGCCAUUUGGCUUGACCAAUGCUACUUCUAGCUUCCAAUCAUUGAUGAAUUCAGUCUUUAGAUCAGUUUUUAGGAGAUCAGUUCUUAUUUUUAUGAUGAUAUACUCGUCUACUCCCAGAAGUGGAAUGAUCAUUUGAUUCAUUUGCAAGUGGUGCUAUAAGUAUUGAGGUCUAAUUAGCUUUAUGCUAAGAGAUCUAGGUGUAUUUUUGAAGCUACUCAGGUGGAGUAUCUUGGGCAUGUUAUUUCUCAAGGGGUUGUCAGUAUGGAUAAAACUAAGGUGGCAGGUGUUUUUUUAUUGGUCUCCUCCAAAGUCUGUCAAGGAGUUGUAAGGCUUCCUUAGAUUGUCUGGAUAUUACAAGCGGUUCAUCAAGGGGUAUGGAUUACUAGCUAAUCCCCUCACCACUUUAUUAAAAAAGAUGUUACUUGGCAAUAGAUAGUGUUGGAACAGACAACAUUUGAUCAGCUCAAAGAAGCUGUUUGUCAGGUUCCAGUUUUAGCCUUGCCAAAUUUUUAAGAGACUUUUUGUGUUGAAACGGAUGCCGGUGGAAAAGGGGUUGGGGCAGUUCUGCAGCAGAAAUGGAGGCCAGUGGCAUAUUUCAACAAAGCCUUGGGAGUCAAGUAUCAAGCUUUGUCCAUCUAUGACAAAGAAAUGCUAACAGUACUUUUAGCAGUCAAGAAAUGGCAUUUUUAUCUUGUGGGAAGACAUUUCUUAAUCAAAAUUGAUCACCAGAGCUUGAAGUUUUUAUCCGAGCAGCAAGCAAUUACACCUUACCAGCAGAAGUGGGUUGCUAAGAUGCUGGGUUACGAUUAUUCGAUUUCAUAUAGAAAGGGAGCUCAGAAUACAGUCGCAAAUGCUUUGUCAAGAAAACCUCAUGAACACAAACACCAAUUCUUCCAAUGUGAAGGGAGUUUUGACUCUUCUUGGUCUGAGGUAUAGGAUCACAUUUUUGCUUUAUAUGAGACAAAUAAGAAGCUACACUAGUUGUGUGAGGAUGUUCAAGUAUAACCACAGUUGCAUCCCAAGUAUUCUUGGCAUGGCACAUUCCUUCGCAAACUGGAAAAGAUUGUGGUGGGGAAUGAUGUUCAGCUUAGAAGACACAUAUUUGGUCUUUUUCAUUAUAGUUCCUUGGGGGUUAUUCCGGCUUCGAUGCUACUAGGCACAAGAUCUCUGGGUUGCUAUACUGGAAAGGCCUUUCUAAAGAUGUUAAGCGAUGGGUUUGUGAGUGUGUUGUUUGCCAGCGAUGCAAAACUGAUAAUUCUGCUUCACCAGGGUUUUUGUAACCUUUACCCAUACCAGAUCGAGCUUGGACUACCAUUAGUAUGAAUUUUAUUGAGGGUCUGCCUCUCUCACAUGGUAAAUUUGCCAUUCUUGUAGUGAUUGAUCGAUUGACCAAGUAUGGUCACUUUAUUGCUUUAGCCCAUCCUUUCACUGCCUUAAUAGUAGCUCAAGAGUAUUUUAGUCAGAUUUAUAAGCUUCAUGGGAUGCUUGAAUCUAUUGUGUUUGAUAGGGAUCGAAUUUUUUUAAGUAAUUUUUGCUAAGAGCUGUUUCGGCACUUAGGCACCUAACUGAAUAUGUCCACUGCCUACCAUCCCCAAAUUAAUGGUCAGACAGAAACGUUUAACAAAUGUUUGGAGAGUUAUUUGCGAUGCAUGACUAGUGAAAAGCCCUCUGCUUGGGCGUCUUGGCUACCUUUGGCGGAGUGGUGGUACAAUACCACUUACCAUUCUGCCAUUCAGACUACGUCUUAUAAAGCUCUCUAUGGGCAAGAUCCUCAUAUUCAUCUCCCUUACCUGACUGAUGCUUCUCAAGUGGCUACAGUAGACUUCACUUUGCACUACCGAGAAGUCAUGUGUAAAUUUUUAAAAUUCCAUCUUACUCGAGCUUAGGAUCGGAUGAAACAAAUGGGUGACAAAAGGCGAUCGGAAUGAGAAUUUCAGGUGGGGGAUUUGGUAUAUUUAAAGUUACAACCAUAUCGACAACACUCUUUACGUAAGUUCAAGUACCAAAAAUUGUCACCCAGGUAUUUUGGUCCCAUUCCAGUGGAGGCUCGUGUAGGACAGGUUGCUUACAAGCUGUUACUACUAUCUUCUGCUCACAUCCAUUCUAACUUUCAUGUCUCUCAAUUGAAGAAGCAUAUUGGCUCUACGGUGAGUGCCUUUAAUUUGCCACCAAUGGGGUCUGAUGGAGCUCUUCUCAAGACACCGAUUUGAGUAUUGGAUAGACGCUUGGUCAAGCAAGGUAACCAUGCUGUUGUGGAGGUUCUCGUCGAGUGGGCUGACACAUUUCCUGGGGAUUCAACUUGGGAGAAUUUGCACAAUCUUUAACGUCAAUUUCUUGCUUUUGAACCUUGAGGACAAGGAUCCUGCUUCAGGGGAGGGGUAUUUGUUAUGGAACAGCUCCAAGGGUCAUUUUCAUAUUUCUGUUAUUGUUGUUACUUCUUCUUUUUGGAACGCUGUGUUUUAAUUCUUGUUGUUGUUCUAGCUAUACAGUGUGUUUUGACCAAUAGAUUAGCAUUAGCUUAAAUGAUUCAUUUUACAGGAAACACUGUUGAUUGAAACGAUGUGGUUUAGGCUAUUAUUACUGUUAUUUGUUAGUCUGUUAUUUGGUUUCCUUAAAUACCAGUAACUAAUAAAAAAACAAUUAUGAAAUUUGAAAUCAGAAUUCUUCAGUACUCUCUUCUUCUUCUCUCUCGAUCUUUUUCUUUUUCUUCUUCUUUUAUGUUCUUUUACUGUUUCUAGAUCUGUUAUGUGACAGUGUUCAUCCGGAGUUGGUUACUCAGAAGGAUUUGAGUUACAUAACGAGUGCUCUUGGAUCACUUCUAUAUAUGGAUAGCAUAAUUAUAUCUCAGAAUUGACUUGCUUGUGUAAAGGGAUAAGGAGAAAGUUUGGCUGCCUAAAGAAGACUCUAAUCUUUUUGGUGAUUUAAAAGUUGCUGCUUGUAGCUCUUUAAAGGCUGUUGCUGAGGAUAAGAUUGCUCGUAGUAAAGACAAGGCUAUACAUGUUGAUGAUUCUGCUGGUGAUGUGUCUGGUGCUAAGAGUCAGUUUGGAUUUGUUGGAUCAAGUAACAAAUUUUGAAGUUUUGUCUUCUAAAAUUGAUGAGGUGCCUGGUAGUAGUGAUUUUGUUAAUAAUGAGAAUGGUGAUGGGAGACAGGUUUCUUACCCGAAGAAGGUUCGAGUGGCUUCACAAGGAGUUUCUAAUCUCAUGAAAGCUAUGAAAUCCAAGAAGAAAUGACAUUUGGUUAAAAGGCAAAAGGAAGAAUCUAGUAGGGUCGCCUGCCAAUUGUGGUACUUCUUCAUCCUUUCCUACAUGAUUCUUGUUUUUUGGAAUGUUAGAGGGUUUAAUAAUCCUCUUAAACAAAAUUCUGUUGUACAGAGAACUAAAAAAUUAGGUGUUGUACAGAGAACUAAAAAUUUAGGUGUGGAAUUGUCUUGUUUGCUUGAAUCUAGAGUCGAAAAAAUAAGGCCCUUGCCAUUUUAGAUAA